rnacentral:rRNA from 1 species
UACGUAGGGGGCAAGCGUUGUCCGGAAUCAUUGGGCGUAAAGAGCGUGUAGGCGGCCAGAAAAGUCCGCUGUGAAAACUCGAGGCUCAACUUCGAGCUGUCGGUGGAAACUUUCUGGCUAGAGUCCGGAAGAGGAGAAUGGAAUUCCUGGUGUAGCGGUGAAAUGCGCAGAUAUCAGGAAGAACACCCGUGGCGAAGGCGGUUCUCUGGGACGGUACUGACGCUGAGACGCGAAAGCGUGGGGGAGCGAACAGG